UUAAAAAAGACUGGAUACAGAGCGUCCGGUCCUGGUGCCUUACUUUUCAGUACGGAUAUUUCGUACUUUAUUUCUUGUUCUGACGGGUGUCGGACGCGGACGGCACGUUUACUGGGAACAAAUUUUAAUGUUCAAAGUAUGACUGAAAAUCCUGCUAUGAAAUAUUGGAAUGGGAUUUCGGUUCCAUUUUGUUAGUUUUCGGAUCCGAAGUAAUGGUUAAAAUAAACAGACGGAUGCAUUUGUAUGGCGAUGUUAGAGGUCAAAUUCUUGGAUCACCGCCAAACAAACAACAGCGAAAGUAUUUGUCAAGUUUGUUUUCGUUGCCGUGGUGCGAAAGUCGGACGUUUUAAGACGCUCAGAUACUGUCCUAGUUUUGACCAUAAACGACGUCAACUGAGCAUCUGUAGUGGCACGAUUAUUGUCCCGCGGGUAGCCCUCGGUAAACCUUUAAGUCGUGGGGCU
rnacentral:ncRNA from 1 species